UCUGGUGUCCUAGGCGUAGAGGAACCACACCAAUCCAUCCCGAACUUAGUGGUUAAACUCUACUGCGGUGACGAUACUGUAGGGGAGGUCCUACAAAAAAAUAGUUCGACACCAUGA
rfam:Capsicum annuum cultivar Zunla-1 chromosome 4, whole genome shotgun sequence